rnacentral:rRNA from 1 species
GACGAACGCUGGCGGCGUGCCUAAUACAUGCAAGUAGAACGCUGAAGGAGGGGCUUGCUCUUCUGGAUGAGUUGCGAACGGGUGAGUAACGCGUAGGUAACCUGCCUGGUAGCGGGGGAUAACUAUUGGAAACGAUAGCUAAUACCGCAUAACAGUAGAUGUUGCGUGACAUUUGCUUAAAAGGUGCAAUUGCAUCACUACCAGAUGGACCUGCGUUGUAUUAGCUAGUUGGUGGGGUAACGGCUCACCAAGGCGACGAUACAUAGCCGACCUGAGAGGGUGAUCGGCCACACUGGGACUGAGACACGGCCCAGACUCCUACGGGAGGCAGCAGUAGGGAAUCUUCGGCAAUGGACGGAAGUCUGACCGAGCAACGCCGCGUGAGUGAAGAAGGUUUUCGGAUCGUAAAGCUCUGUUGUAAGAGAAGAACGAGUGUGAGAGUGGAAAGUUCACACUGUGACGGUAUCUUACCAGAAAGGGACGGCUAACUACGUGCCAGCAGCCGCGGUAAUACGUAGGUCCCGAGCGUUGUCCGGAUUUAUUGGGCGUAAAGCGAGCGCAGGCGGUUAGAUAAGUCUGAAGUUAAAGGCUGUGGCUUAACCAUAGUACGCUUUGGAAACUGUUUAACUUGAGUGCAAGAGGGGAGAGUGGAAUUCCAUGUGUAGCGGUGAAAUGCGUAGAUAUAUGGAGGAACACCGGUGGCGAAAGCGGCUCUCUGGCUUGUAACUGACGCUGAGGCUCGAAAGCGUGGGGAGCAAACAGG